CCCUAGUUAGUAUAGUGGUUAGUACUCCACGUUGUGGCCGUGGCGACGCUGGUUCGAUUCCAGCAGCAGGCA
rfam:Caenorhabditis remanei strain PB4641 contig486.5, whole genome shotgun sequence.